UAUGUAGAGAAUAGAGAAUAAAUCUCGUGCAUUGAUCUUGAUGAAUCUAGCGGCUAUCAUUUCUCAUUAAAAUAGUCUGUCGUUUUAAUAAAAAGGUUAUGCACGUAAUUUACAUUUUCUAUUAUUAACAGCCAUUCCUACAUUUAAGGUAAAUAUCGUGUAUUGAUUUAUGGAUUCUAUUUUUCUCUCUCUCAAUCUAAUUCACUCUCUCUCUCUCUCUGUCUCUCUCUCUCUCUCUCUAUGCUAAUGUCUCUUGUCGAUCUUGAGAACCUGGGGUCGUACUGCGUCGGCGACGACAGUGAUAAUAAAGUCACCUACAAGAUGCUCACAGACGAGAGCUCCGACGACGAUGCGCCAGAAGAUGAGAACAUCUGUCAAACACAGAUCGUGAGUUUCAGUUAGGAAUCCUUACGCCUCCACCACCCUCAGUCCUUCUGAAUCGCGAAUUUUAAUCGCAAAUCUAAUGGCCAACGAGCAAGUUCGUGUUCUCAUCAUCGAUGUUGCUGAUAGGAACUCUUUUCAUGUUUUAGCUUCUCUGAUUUGUUUAUUUUCAUUUUUUUUUUUUGGAUUUUUCGAUGUGUAUUCAUUUGGAUCGUCAUUUUCAGUCGAUUUAUUUGUUGGAUUGUUAGUAUAUUAUUUUGAUUUGGUACCUUAAU